UGCUCGGCAACUAUUUCUAGGUCUAGGACUACUGUAGACUUUAUUAGUUUAUAUGAUUAUACAACCGCGUGAUAUUUGGUUCUUUUUUUACUAUUACUAUGUGCAAAGUUAAAUUUGAUGUGCUACGUUUGGAAUAUUCUUAUUUCUCCAAGUGAACGGAAAUUAACGAAAUUAGAGAGUUCGGAAAGUAUAAGUGUCAGUGAAGAUCUAUAUAUAUUUUAGAACUAUGGAAGAUUUAGGAUUGGCAAUGUUUGGGGGUUACUGGCUUUGGCUCCACAAUGGCUUCAGUGAUUAAACCUCAGUCUGACUCCAGCAGCCCUUCCUCAGUUCCUGAACAACAGAAUCCUAUGGCAAACUAGGAUAACAUUAUUUAUAAAUGGCAUUUUCCACAAGACAGUUGACUAUGAUUGCAGUCUGAGAACAACAAGUAAAUCCUCUACUCUGGCCAAUUCUUGCAGAUUUUGCUCAAUGAAAGGUGAAUGACUAGAUAUGAAUGGAGAGGUAAAAAGGCGGACAGACGAUUAAGUGAUAAAGAUAUAAAUAGUGUGAGAAGAGUGGAAACAGCAGACAGACUAUAGCAGAAGAGAGUAAAGUUAUGGACAAGGAAAAGUUUAGCGUGAA